rnacentral:rRNA from 1 species
UACAGGGGGGGCAAGCGUUGUUCGGAAUUACUGGGCGUAAAGAGCUCGUAGGCGGCCUGUCGCGUCGGAUGUGAAAGCCCGGGGCUUAACCCCGGGUCUGCAUUCGAUACGGGCAGGCUAGAGUGUGGUAGGGGAGAUCGAAUUCCUGGUGUAGCGGUGAAAUGCGCAGAUAUCAGGAGGAACACCGGUGGCGAAGGCGGAUCUCUGGGCCAUUACUGACGCUGAGGAGCGAAAGCGUGGGGAGCGAACAGG